UACAUUGGUGUUGAGUAAUCAACUAUAACCACUAGGGGGCAGCAGUCAUUUAGUAGGAAAAAAUUAUUUGUUUUAGAUUUUAAUAAGAAUCUAUUUGUUUUUUCUUUGCUAGUAGGAAAUGGAAGUGAAGCUCCUCCCCUUAUUGUCUCACCUGCUGCAGCUCACCUGAGAACUCCUCUGCAGGUUCAACAGAAAAGAUCUCAAACGUUUGUUUUCAGUUAAAUCAACUUUAUAACUUCCUCUGGAGAAAUGUUCCUUUUUGAAAAGCGAGUCUAAAUAGAAAGUCUGUUAUCUUGUUUAUGCACGAAAGCCCUGUUAAAUUUAGCCAUUUAGGAUUUUCCAAAUUUGUAAAAAUAGUCUGUCAUCUUUUUCAGGUUUUCCCCAGAUUUUAAUAAAUGAGGAAGUUAGAAUAGAAACAGAUCAGAAGCUGCACGCCUGUGUUGAUGUGUAAAUUACUAAAUCAUAUCUGUGUAUAAAGUUGUGAUAGCUUCUUCCAGUGUUUGUACAAAAGAAGAAAAAAAAAAUGGUUCAAAUGCAGAUUUUAACUGAAGAAAACAGGAAGACCUCCUGACUUCUCUGAGCUCCACGGAUAAUUUGACUGCUCAACAAACUGCAGGUUCUUUAGAGGAGAAACUCCUCGUUCCUCUUUUCAAUCCCAGGUGAGUAUAAAUAACUUAAUACUCAGCUUUUUGUUGCUGCACUUCUCCAAACUAGUCUAAGCACAAACAAUGAUGGAAGAUGAUCUGGAGAUAUAAGCAGGGAAGCAGAUGGAGAUCUUUGGACCAGUGAUGUUGGUAAAAGGAUGCUGAGGUUGGAGAAACUAAGACAGAGGAUUGGAGGAAGACCACAGAAGACAUUCAUGGAUGUAGAGAAGGAGGACAUGAGGGUGGAGGAUAGAAUUGAACAGAUUAAGACAGAGGAUUCUAAAGUCAGGAAAGUAAACUCCGAUCAACUUUUCAUCUAUUUUCAGUGUAAUCAGUGAUCUUUUAAUUGUAAUUCUGCUAAUUUUAGACAAUCAAAACUAUUGGCGUGGAAGUAAGCCUCCACUGAUAUCCCAUCAUCUCUUUGUCUACACUCUUUCUUGCUAUCUUACAGCUCCUCACAACCCUACAGUAUCAGUUCUAUCCAUCCGUACAGGUCUGAUCCAGAUUCCAGCUCAGACCAGAAAAACAAUGUUUAUGAUCUAUCUGUCUCCAAGUUGAUCCAACAGAAUGAAGCACUAGCCCAUAUCAGUUGCUGUGUCACAACUGAGUUCUUUUAAACAUUUUUUUUAAUCUGCUCCCAAUUCCCAACAAUUUUAAAUAAUGAAUAUUUAGAAAUGCAACUUUCAUCUUAACACCAAAAACAUUAUUUUCAUCUAAGUGGAUAUUUAAACUGUUGUGAUUUAUUGAUGUUUUAGUUAUCUAACAUUUAUUCUCAGAAUUUGGAAUUUUUAUCUUUUAAAAAUGAAUUUGUGACUUUAUAUAACACUUCUCUUUUUGAUAUAGGCUAGUUCUACCCUUUAGUUCUUCUUCAUUUUAUUUCACUUUUAUGACUUAUCUUUUAUUUAUUUAUUUCCUUGGAGUUGUGUCAUUUUGUCUCUAUAGCUUAUUUUUUUUCUGAUUUCAUAAUUAUGACAUAUUUUAUUUGAACAUUGUUUUUUGUAGUAUCAGUAAGUUUUGUUGUUUAUUGUUCUGGGAAUUUGUAAAUUUGUUCGUUGUCAAUAAAGUUUGAUAACAAAAAGAUCGCAGUCGCUUCCCCGCUGUUUGAUAAGUGCCAAGAGAACAGCUUUAAUCAACGAGAAAAGGAUGGAGAAGUGGAGAAGAAGAGGUGAAGGAGAACCAGGAGGAGGUGAAGGAGAACCAGGAGGAAGUGAAGGAGAACCAGGAGGAGCAGAGACGGAGAACCAGGAGGAGGUGAAGGAGAACCAGGAGGAGCAGAGACGGAGAUCCAGGAGGAGGUGAAGGAGAACCAGAAGGAGCAGAGACUUAGAACCAGGAGGAGGUGAAGGAGAACCAGAAGGAGGUGACGGAUCGCCAAGAGGCCUCUGUGGAGCGCGCGGGAGUUUCAUGGAUUAUAUUCAUGACUCCAGGUGCGUUACCUCCGGACGCCGCCUCUCCCGCUCUGUUACGCCGGCGUCUCAGGAUGACCUCCAGCUCGCUGUCCUUCUUUCCUGGGGGGGACGGCCCUGACUCCUGGGAGCCUCGGCUGGGGCUCCUCUUCACCGUCUCCUGAGGAGAAGAUCCCAGAGUGAUUCAGAAGGAAAGACGAGGAUGCUGCAGUAAAUGGUGAGACUGUCAUCUUCAGCUGUAAGGAGGUAAAGUGAGCGAACACUCACCAG